CACGUAGGGGGCGAGCGUUGUCCGGAAUUAUUGGGCGUAAAGAGCUCGUAGGCGGUGUGUCGCGUCGGCCGUGAAAACCUGCAGCUUAACUGUGGGCUUGCGGUCGAUACGGGCAUCACUGGAGUUCGGCAGGGGAGACUGGAAUUCCUGGUGUAGCGGUGAAAUGCGCAGAUAUCAGGAGGAACACCGGUGGCGAAGGCGGGUCUCUGGGCCGAUACUGACGCUGAGGAGCGAAAGUGUGGGGAGCGAACAGG
rnacentral:rRNA from 1 species